rnacentral:lncRNA from 1 species
GCUAAAGCUUCAUUUUCUUUCUUUAAUAGACACUUAUUCAUUAAAGAGCUCACACAAGGAAUCCUGGAAUCAUGGGGCCCUUUCCCCUAGAGCCCUGGGCCCUCCUUACAUUAAAUUUGAUACCCUUCCUGCUUCUGGUGUUUGGAAGUAACUGCUCCCUCCCUGCACCUGCAGAGAGCCACAGGGGGAGCGGAGACUGCAGGGUAUGUGCCUGCUCCAGCCGCCUGUGGGAUCCACCAGCUGACAGAAUGAGCAUGGAGAGUUCCGUCUGCCUGUAGCCGACAGAAGACAGCUGUGUUCAUGGUCUGUGCUCUCUGUCUGGAUGUUGAUUCACCUGAAAUCACAGGUGAAAAUCCUCUCAGGCUUCCGCCUUUCAGUUUCCACCCCUGAGGCUGUUGCCCUGAGCCCCACUCCUCAGCCACAGCAGAGCUGGCCGUCCUCCCGAGUGGUCCCUGAGGGCAGAGGACAGCUGUGGACAGAGCGCUCCGGGAGGCCUGCCGUGGCACGGUGAGCCCGUAGGGUGUGAGGCAGUGCCCACAGGCACCGAGAAGGCCCUCCUCCAGGCCACGGAGUCCAGGGAAGACCAGCAGUGACCUGGGUUUUAAGCUCCAACUCCCACGUUUAAAACUGGCUUCCACAGGCGCUCACUGCACAGGGCACCACAAGGCCUCCGAGGCGCCACGGCCUCCCUGAAGAGCAGACCUGCACCUACAGGAAGAUUCUAGAGCUGUGCUUUCCGGUUCCGUUGCCUUUAGCUAAAACUAGCUAUUAAGAACCUGAAACGGGGCUGUGGCUCAGUGGUGGAGCACUCGCCUAGCACAGGCGAGGCCCUAGGUUCUAUCCUCAGCACCACUUAUAAAUAAGUAAAUAAAUAAAAUACAGGUAUGGUGUCGACUACAACUGAGAAGCAUUUUAAGAAAAGAAAAAAAGAAUCUGAAACAGGACUCAUGGAGCUGAGUUUUUAAUUAUUUAAAUUUCAAUUUAAAAGCAGAUAUUUAAUUUCAGUUAUUGGAAAACUUUUCAGGAUUUUUGUAACAACUCAGAUAAAACAAUCUACUUUUACAGCUGUGAAUUUUAUAACCCUUAAAUACUGAUCAAGUAUUUCUGAUGGAAAUUUAGCACUGAAAUUAAAUGUAAAAUGCGCCGAUAAAUGUAAAAUACCACAUAUCUAAGACCAAGCAUGAAAAAAGUACAAUGCAUAUCUCAUGAACAGAUUUUUAUAGUUUACAUAUUUAUGUAAUUAUACUUUGAAAAUACUGAUCUGAAAUUUUGCAUCAGAACUUUUAACAUUUUGAUGAGGCGACUAGAAAACACUAUACUAUGCAUCUAAGGGACAGCAGCACUGCUCUGCCCCUGACGGGAGUGACCUCAAGUCUCCUCUUUCUUCUCUUUACUCCUCUUCCCUCCUCUGAAUAACUCAUCCAUGGGAAAUGGACUAGGGCUCUUCUGCUGAGCUGUACCACGUGUCCAAUAAACAACCCCAUCAGCAGGUGUUGUCCGCUCACCCAGGAGAGGAGUCUGAGCAGGCGACCGUCCUCCCCUCUUCCCCAGGUCUGGUGCCUCCGCUCGACCAGCACGAAAGAGGCCAGCUCUGCCCUAGGGCAGGAUGUCCUCGUCCACUCAUCUCACAGGUGCCUGGCACCAGCAUGUGCCUGGCUCUGCUCUUGGCAUCGGGGCACAGCCUGCUUCACGGUCUUUUCUGUCGUGAAGUUUCCAGUCCAGAAUGUAGAUGACUUGGGAGAAGACAAGUGAAACACGCAGCUGCUGGAGUCCAGCUGUUCCCCUUGCUGGCCACAGCUCUGUGGGCAGCAAGCACCCACAGGAGUGCCAGCAAGGACUGAAACAUGAAGGUAGAACAUCACCCUUGUUUAACCCCGGCCAGGAAGGAGCCCAUUGGAUAACUCAGAUUUUUUUGCUAUUCUGCACGUUUGCAAAUAAUUGCAUGAGCACUUAUUGAUCAGCAUUGGUGUUGGAUGUGACAGGAAGAAAUAGGUAUGUGAAACCAUGUCAAAACAAGCAGCAGGGCACAGAGGCAGCCUUCUGAAUGGGAUCAGUAUUUCUCAACCAUAUGUCUGAUAAACGGUUAAUAUUUAAUGUGCAAAGAACUUGUGCAACAAUGAAAAAACAAAUGGAUUAAAAAUGGGAAAGAUACAUUUAAAGAAGAUAUACAAGUGCCCUAUAAGCACAUAAGAUAUUCAUGACCAGUUCUCAGGGAAAUGCAAGUCAAAGCCAUGAGAGAUUACUUCACACUUGUUGGUGUGGCCACUGGAAAGAAAGAAAGCCAGAAAAAUGUCCAGUAUAGGAGGAUAUGGGAAAAUAGGACACUCAUACACUAUUGAUGACUAUAUAACAGGAGGUAGCUACUUUGGAAAAUGGUGGCAGUUCCUCUAAAAUUUAAAAUUGAAUUACUAUAUGAUCUAGCCAUCCUUCUUUGGGGUGUAUAUCCUAAAGAAAUGAGAACCAGAUCACAAUGAGAUAUUUGCUUGCCCACAUUCAUUGCAGCACUAUUCACAAUAGCCAGGAGGUGAAAACAAUCUAAAUGUCUAUGGAUGGUGCCAUGGGUAAAGCAAAUGUGAGCUCUAUGAAUGGUGGAAUAUUAUUCCGUGUUAAAAAAAGAAGGAAAUCUUGUCUUAUGCUAUUACAUGGAUUCACCUUGGGACGUUGUGCUUGGCGAAUUAAGCCAAUAAUAGAAGAUAGAUAAAGCAUGACUCUACUAGUGUGGUAUUGAAAGUAAUCAAACUCUUAGAAACAGAGGUUGGUUGACAACCUCUGUGGUGGGUGGGGCCCUUUUUACUGGAGGUCCCGUGUCCUACCAUUAUUGAUGACAACUGGGGCCGUUGGUGGUGGAGCUUGUCUCCAGCCCCUCUCCCCCUGCAGUUCAGGGCCAGUGGUGGGUGUUUGGGGGCAAGUUCCAGCCUCUGAGGGUGGGGUGCGUUUUCCAGGUGACCAGUCUUCUUGCCGAAGCCAUCUAGGUCCUGUUCCGUGAGUCACCAUAUUAGCAGACAGUAAGUUCCAGUGGUUUGGGGAACUUGGCCGAGCCAAGGAUAAAUACUAAAUUUUGUUUUCAUUUUACCACAUGCUGAAUUUUGAUCUAUUUGUAUGGAUUUCAAAUUAGACUUUAUUAAGAUAAUUAUGUGAAUGACUUAAAACUUUUAAAAAGUGAUGAAAUACCCCGGUCUCCCCCUGACCUUUGCUUUAGGGCUUGGAUAAGUAUUCCUUCCCAGUCUUCCAGUUUCUUGUGGCUUCAUUUAAAAGAAAUAAGUUUAAUCUGUAUGGAAUUAUUUUGUCACAAUGAAAUGGAUGUGUUUUCUCUCAGAAUAACCAGUUAUCUUAAAUCCAUUUUGAAAUGAGCCUUUUCCCUUUGUCUGUGCCACUUUUCGUUGUAAAUCGUGUCUGUGUUUGGGGCUUAUCGGGUUUUCCACCUGUAUAGUGUUUCUUUAUGUUUUCAUUUUACUUCCACAACUUUACUUAGUAAAGUUUUAUAAUCCAUGAAUUACUGGGUAAUGUAAAUUGAUUUUUAUUUUAGACUUGAGAAAAUACAUCUGCCUUAGCAUGUUUAUUAUUAAUUUUUUUGGUAUUAUUAAGCAAUUCUAUUGUCUUCUCCUUUUUCAGUAGAUUACUUUUUAGAGCACUUUUGGGUUUACAGCAAGAUUAAGUGAAAGGUACAGAGAUUUCCUGUACAUCCCCGGUUCUCACACCAUCUCCUGUACCAACAUCUGCACAGAGAGGUGCAUUUCUGAGUCAAUGAACCUGUGGAAUUCAUCAUCACCCGGAGUACACAGUUGACAUGAGGGACCUCUUCUGUGUUCUGCAGUCUGUGUGUGGGGCAGAUGUGCGACGGCAGUGUCCACCAUCGUGGUAUCACAGAGACAGAUUCCCUGCUGAAUACCGUGUUCAUCCUGGCUUCCUCCAUCCCUGGCAACCACUGACCUUUGCACUGGCUCUGGGUUUCACCUUUGAGGGGUGUGAUGUACUUGGCACCACAGUGAGCGGCCUUUUGGAAUGGCUUCUUGGACUUAGCAGUGUGCGUUGGUUUCUUACGUGGCCUCUUUUUAUGGUUGAUGGUUCAUUUUUUUUUUUUUAAUCACUGAGCACUACCUGUUAUCUGGAUGUACCACAGCUUACGUACCCACUCACCCACUGAAGGGCAUCUUGGUUGCUCUGGAGUUUUGGCAGUGAUGAGAAAAGCCUAUAUACACGUCUGUGUGCUGGUUUUAGUGUGGACACAUGUCAGCUUUUCAGGGCUUUUGAGUAAGUAGCAGGGAACAUGCCUGCUGGGUUGUAAGGAAUGGACAGACUGUCUUCCAGGGUACAUGUGUCAUUUUGCAUUCCCGCUGCAGUGGAUGAGAGCGCCUGCUGCCCUGUUUUCUCGUCAGCACGUGGUGCUGUUUGUGUCUGGAGUCUGGCCGUGACGGGUGUGCAGUGCACCUUACCUGUCUGUGUUCCACACCACAUGUGCUGACUUGCAUCUGUCUCUCUCUUCCAUGGAGAUAGCUGGUCAGGCUGUUCUAGAAGUGUUCUUUGUGUAUUUUUGAUAGCAGUUCUCAGUAAGAUAUCUCUUGCAAAUAUCUUUUCCAAGUCUGGGUUUCUUCUCAUCCUCUGCAGUGUUUUAUUUGCCUCAUACAGUCCUGAGGGACAUGCUUUAUCACAAGAAGUGACAACAGCUUACUGUCUGGUUUUACUUAAGUAGAAAGGAACAGACGAAGAUCUUGUUUCUGCUUUAUGUUCUGCCUUCCUCCCGAGCACCAUGCUGUGACACCUAGCCCAGUCCUUGGCUCUCAGACCUCUGGAUGAGCAGGCAGCCCUGAUGCCUCCGUGUGCUCGCAAGGUUUAAUCCGAGAGAGAUUUCACAGUGUCUCAGCUGAGAGGUUGGUAAAUGUGUGCCGCAGAGGAUGUGGACCAGAGGGGAGAGAGUGGGAGGAGGGCCAUCCUGUGCAUGUCCUUCAUCAGGGGUCCACACAGCAACUGUCAGUGUGUGUGUGUGUUGGUGACAUUUGGGCUGGGGAGGUGCUCUGUGAUUUCUAGGAGGUCACAGAGUGUGUGAGCAGGGCCAACCACCCGAUAUUCACCCAGGACAGGCGCAGCCUGAGGACUGCUGUUCUACACACCAUGGAGUCACUAGGGCAGGCACAGCCUGAGGACUGCUGUCCUACACAUCAUGGAGUCACUAGGGCAGGCACAGCCUGAGGACUGCUGUUCUACACACCAUGGAGUCACUAGGGCAGGUGCAGCCUGAGGACUGCUGUCCUACACACCAUGGAGUCACUAGGGCAGGUGCAUCCUGAGGACUGCUGUUCUACACACCAUGGAGUCACUCAGGGCAGGGCGUGCCUUGAGGUCUACAUCUGGUUUCAGUGGUCCUCUGGCAAUAGUAGCAGGCCUGGGGGCUCAGCCCUUCUGCCUGGGGCAAGUGGCCCCUGGGAUCUGUUGAGUGACCAUGUUCUCUGAGCCUUUCAGCUCAGGGCUUGUGAGUUGGCCACAGCCUCAUCCUCAGUUCCCCUGUCACCAGAUCCUCCAGGCUGAUAAAAGGCCUGGCUUUGGUUUCACAGUUGACCUAGAUGCUGAAUUUCUCCAGAAUUACCAGUUUUUCAAUACCUUGAGUGUUUAAGAUUAUC